GACGAACGCUGGCGGCGUGCUUAACACAUGCAAGUCGAACGGAAAGGCCCUGCUUUUGUGGGGUGCUCGAGUGGCGAACGGGUGAGUAACACGUGAGUAACCUGCCCUUGACUUUGGGAUAACUUCAGGAAACUGGGGCUAAUACCGGAUAGGAGCUCCUGCUGCAUGGUGGGGGUUGGAAAGUUUCGGCGGUUGGGGAUGGACUCGCGGCUUAUCAGCUUGUUGGUGGGGUAGUGGCUUACCAAGGCUUUGACGGGUAGCCGGCCUGAGAGGGUGACCGGCCACAUUGGGACUGAGAUACGGCCCAGACUCCUACGGGAGGCAGCAGUGGGGAAUAUUGCACAAUGGGCGGAGGCCUGAUGCAGCAACGCCGCGUGCGGGAUGACGGCCUUCGGGUUGUAAACCGCUUUCGCCUGUGACGAAGCGUGAGUGACGGUAAUGGGUAAAGAAGCACCGGCUAACUAUGUG
rnacentral:rRNA from 1 species